CUGAGGCUGCGGACCUCUGACCAUCUCUGACCUCGCUGCCCACGCCCGCUCCGGGGGAGCCCGGGGACCCUGAGAUAAACAAACAGAAAAGAGAACAAGGAGCAAGAGGGAACUCGUGGCUGCCCUGCAGCCUGGCAGGUGGAGGGGAGGCAAGCCAGACCGUCCCACUGCCCAAGAGGUCCCCUGGCACGGCCACGAGCCACGUUUGCAGCGCUCAAUACCCACAGUUGGUGGCUGGCUGCCCUCUUGGAUAACUCAGGACUAAGGGGCAGAUCAGAGCAGUCGCUCCCUCACUCUGACCCUCAGCCAUUUCUGCUGCUGAGAAGUUCCUGUCUGGCCUCAUCUCUGGCCUCCACUCCUGCUCUGAAUCAUCCUCCUCCCCCAGCUCUCCUCCCUCACUGCCCCACAAGGCAUAUCCAUCCGCCCACAUCUGACCCCGUGUUCCAUAGAUGCUAGACCUGGGGAUAAAAUUCUAAAAUAAAGGCCAA